rnacentral:rRNA from 1 species
CAUUAUUGAAAUUAUAGGUGAGGGUUGUAGCUGGCCUCUCGGGGCAUGUGCACGCCUGAGCCCUUAAUCCACACACACCUGUGAACCUAUUGUAAGGGCCCUUAAAAAAGGCCUUUACGUCUUAUCAUCAACCCAUCGUAUGUCUCAUAGAAUGUAAAUAUAUGUCCUCGCCUUAAAAAGCGUUGAUAAACUUAUACAACUUUCAACAACGGAUCUCUUGGCUCUCGCAUCGAUGAAGAACGCAGCGAAAUGCGAUAAGUAAUGUGAAUUGCAGAUUUUCAGUGAAUCAUCGAAUCUUUGAACGCACCUUGCGCUCCUUGGUAUUCCGAGGAGCAUGCCUGUUUGAGUGUCAUUAAAUUCUCAACUCUGAUCGAUUUGUUUCGACUUCGGAGCUUGGAUUUGGAGCGUGCUGGCGUCGGUCGGCUCCUCUUAAAUGCAUCAGCGGAAUCUAACGUUUCGGACGUCAGUGUGAUAAUCAUGUUGCGCUGUCUGUCUGAUCUGAAAGCCCGCUCACAAUGGUCUUCGGACAACUUCAUAUCAAAUUUGACCUCAAAUCAGGUAGGACUACCCGCUGAACUUAAGCAUAUCAA